rnacentral:rRNA from 1 species
UACAGAGGUCUCAAGCGUUGUUCGGAUUCAUUGGGCGUAAAGGGUGCGUAGGCGGUGCGGUAAGUUGGAUGUGAAAUCCCGGGGCUUAACCCCGGAACUGCAUUCAAUACUGCCUUGCUAGAGUACUGGAGAGGAGAUUGGAAUUCACGGUGUAGCAGUGAAAUGCGUAGAUAUCGUGAGGAAGACCAGUGGCGAAGGCGAAUCUCUGGACAGUGACUGACGCUGAGGCACGAAGGCUAGGGGAGCAAACGGG